GCGGCAGGCUUAACACAUGCAAGUCGAGGGGCAGCGGGGAGGAAGCUUGCUUUCUCCGCCGGCGACCGGCGCACGGGUGAGUAACACGUAUGCAACCUGCCCCUGUCAGGGGGACAACCCGCCGAAAGGCGGGCUAAACCCGCGUACAUGCCACCGGGGCAUCCCGGAGGCAGGAAAGGCUUCGGCCGGACAGGGAUGGGCAUGCGGCGCAUUAGGCAGUAGGCGGGGUAACGGCCCACCUAACCGACGAUGCGUAGGGGUUCUGAGAGGAAGGUCCCCCACACUGGUACUGAGACACGGACCAGACUCCUACGGGAGGCAGCAGUGAGGAAUAUUGGUCAAUGGUCGGGAGACUGAACCAGCCAAGCCGCGUGAGGGAUGAAGGUACAGAGUAUCGUAAACCUCUUUUGUCAGGGAACAAAGGCGGGGACGUGUCCCCGGAUGAGUGUACCUGAAGAAAAAGCAUCGGCUAACUCCGUGCCAGCAGCCGCGGUAAUACGGAGGAUGCGAGCGUUAUCCGGAUUUAUUGGGUUUAAAGGGUGCGCAGGCGGUCUGUUAAGUCAGCGGUCAAAGCCCGGGGCUCAACCCCGGCCCGCCGUUGAAACUGGCAGUCUCGAGUUGGAGAGAAGUAUGCGGAAUGCGCGGUGUAGCGGUGAAAUGCAUAGAUAUCGCGCAGAACUCCGAUUGCGAAGGCAGCAUGCCGGCUCCACACUGACGCUGAGGCACGAAAGCGUGGGUAUCGAACAGGAUUAGAUACCCUGGUAGUCCACGCAGUAAACGAUGAAUGCUGGCUGUCCGGGGGGAUUGACCCCUGGGUGGCGAAGCGAAAGCGAUAAGCAUCCCACCUGGGGAGUACGCCGGCAACGGUGAAACUCAAAGGAAUUGACGGGGGCCCGCACAAGCGGAGGAACAUGUGGUUUAAUUCGAUGAUACGCGAGGAACCUUACCCGGGCUCAAACGGGGAGUGACUCAGGCAGAGACGCCUGUUUCCCACGGGACACUCCCCGAGGUGCUGCAUGGUUGUCGUCAGCUCGUGCCGUGAGGUGUCGGCUUAAGUGCCAUAACGAGCGCAACCCCCGCGUGCAGUUGCUAACAGAUAACGCUGAGGACUCUGCACGGACUGCCGGCGCAAGCCGCGAGGAAGGCGGGGAUGAUGUCAAAUCAGCACGGCCCUUACGUCCGGGGCGACACACGUGUUACAAUGGGUGGUACAGCGGGAAGCCAGGCGGCGACGCCGAGCGGAACCCGAAAUCCACUCUCAGUUCGGAUCGGAGUCUGCAACCCGACUCCGUGAAGCUGGAUUCGCUAGUAAUCGCGCAUCAGCCAUGGCGCGGUGAAUACGUUCCCGGGCCUUGUACACACCGCCCGUCAAGCCAUGGGAGCCGAGGGCGCUUGAAGUGCGUCGCCGCGAGGCGCGCCCUAGAGCGAAAUCGGUGACUGGGGCUAAGUC
rnacentral:rRNA from 1 species